UACGGGGGGGGCAAGCGUUGUUCGGAAUUACUGGGCGUAAAGCGCGCGUAGGCGGCUUUGUAAGUUAGAGGUGAAAGCCCGGAGCUCAACUCCGGAAUUGCCUUUAAGACUGCAUCGCUUGAAUCAUGGAGAGGUGAGUGGAAUUCCGAGUGUAGAGGUGAAAUUCGUAGAUAUUCGGAAGAACACCAGUGGCGAAGGCGACUCACUGGACAUGUAUUGACGCUGAGGUGCGAAAGCGUGGGGAGCAAACAGG
rnacentral:rRNA from 1 species